GCAGCCACCCGGGCGUGGCCAGGGCUGAGCAAUCAUGAUCACCGCCGAGGCCGAGGCCGAGUCAGCGGUCCCUAAGGUGCCCGAAGCUGGGGCAGUCAGAGGAGACCCAGAGCUCAAGGAACCAACAUGGCCUUGGAAAGAUGCCCCGAUCCGGGCGCUGGUGCAGCGCAUCCACCAGUUGCAGGCUGAGCGUGCGCAGGCCUUCCACCGCCUGGAGGAAGGCCACCACCAGUACCUGCGCAGCGGCCCGCCAUACGACUUCCCGAGCUACCGGAUCACAGUGCACGAGGUGACCCAGGCCUUCGCCGCUGCCUCCAGGGAGGUGCUGGCGGUGGAGGCCGAGCUGGCCGGCCCUAGAGCGCAGCCGCUGCUCGCGGGCCACGUGCGAAGCCUACAGCAGCUGGAGCAGACACGCCUGGCCACGCACCCUGAGACCCUCAAAACCAUGAGGCCCCACCUCCUGUGCCCCUGCAACCUGGCUGACUGCUGGUCCCACCCCAUGCCAAGGUGGCCCUGCUGCAACUGAUGGGGACAAAAGAGCUCACAGGGCAGGAAGACACCCUACAGUCGCACCAGCUGAAGAUGAAGGUAAUUAAAACCAUGGAAGCCAUCAGUGAGGUUCUCCAGGACCUCAGGUUUGAUGCAGAAUCUGCUGAGUGAUGGUGACUCCCCAGGGACCUGCUGAGGGAGCUGGGAAAUGAGUCAGGCAGCGCCCAGCUCUGACUGCCAGUUGGAUAGGGUUGAACCUCACCGGGCUGUUGACCCUCCGUGAGGUCACCGCACCUCCCACAAUAAAGAAACCUUCAUCUGCAA